AACACAGAGAGCUAGUGAGAAAGAGAAAGAGAUACAGAGAGGUAUUUAGUUGAGGUGGAGGAGAGAAAAGAAGAGGUAGAAGAUGGGGUGAUAUUAUUCUCAUGAUGAUAAUAAGUUCUUGUUAAUGGUGGUGACUUUAAUUAAUAAUCAUAGUGUCCAUGAUUUUGGAGAGGAGUUAAUCAAUCUAUCAAAUCAAGUUUCAUAGGGAGGAGGCUCUGCUGCAGUAUGAUUGUCUUGACUAAAGUCGCUAAUCACAUUAAUUGAUUCCAUCAUGACUUUGGUUCUGACGUUGUAUACCCAGAAGGCACGACUGUAAGAAGCAUAGCCAAGAAAAAUUCCUUCGUCACUUUUGGAGUCAAAUAUUCCUCUAUGUUCUCUGUGUUUGAGAAUAUAGCAUUUGCUUCCGAAAACCCUUAAAUAGCUUAGAUUGGGUUUUCUUCCAUAACAUAAUUCAUAUGGGGUAUUUAGAGUUUUGGAUCUUAAAUAAACUCUGUUUAUAAGAUAACAAGCUGUAAAAACGGCUUCCCCCCAAAAGGUCAAUGGUAGGUUUUUAUUGUGAAGCAUCACUCUUGCCAUCUCUUGAAUAUUUCUAUUCUUUCUCUCAGCUACACCAUUUGCCUAAGGUGUAAUAGGUGCAGAGAAUUGAUGGAUAAUUCCAAGAUCAUUGCAGUAUUC